GACGAACGCUGGCGGCAUGCCUAAUACAUGCAAGUCGAGCGAACAGAUGAAGUGCUUGCACUUCCGACGUUAGCGGCGAACGGGUGAGUAACACGUAAGGAAUCUACCUAUAAGCGGGGGAUAACAUUCGGAAACGGGUGCUAAUACCGCAUAAUAUCUUCUUCCGCACGGAAGAAGAUUGAAAGACGGCUCUGCUGUCACUUAUAGAUGACCUUGCGGUGCAUUAGUUAGUUGGUGGGGUAAUGGCCUACCAAGACGAUGAUGCAUAGCCGACCUGAGAGGGUGAUCGGCCACAUUGGGACUGAGACACGGCCCAAACUCCUACGGGAGGCAGCCGUAGGGAAUCUUCCGCAAUGGGCGAAAGCCUGACGGAGCAAUGCCGCGUGAGUGAAGAAGGCCUUCGGGUCGUAAAACUCUGUUAUAAGAGAAGAACAAAUUGUAGAGUAACUGCUACAGUCUUGACGGUAUCUUAUCAGAAAGCCACGGCUAACUACGUGCCAGCCGCCGCCGUAA
rnacentral:rRNA from 1 species